CCAAAAACUAAAGUACAAUACACAAUACAGUUUCAUAGAAUUCUCACAGUUACUAAAGCGAGCUAAAAGUAUCUAACCUACAUUGGAUGCGUGAAAUGAUAUUGUAAACUACACGUAAACAUGGAUGAUCGACUUCAGGGUAGAUUUUAUGGAUCAAAUUAAAAACUCUUGCACCUAUUAUUUGAGUGGUCCAAAUAUUGCCUGCUGUUUCAAGUCUUAAUUUCUGUCCUUAUUCAAUAUACCCUCAUUUUCUAGUGGUAUUUUAAAGUUUCACGUCCAACCUCACUGUCGACCUCCUUUUGUACGACCUACCUAUUGUAUUUAAAAUUUAUGUGUUGUAGUCAUUAACAGGCAUGAAAUAUUUGCUACUGGACGUAAAGCAAACAACAAUCAAUCAAUUUAAUUAAUUUCUCUGUUACAGUACUUAGCACACAAAUACACGAUCUUGUAAAAUGC
rnacentral:lncRNA from 1 species